rnacentral:rRNA from 1 species
CCCCAGACUCCUACGGGAGGCAGCAGUGGGGAAUAUUGCACAAUGGGGGGAACCCUGAUGCAGCGACGCCGCAUGGGUGAAGGAGCACCUCGGUGCGUAAAGCCCUAUCGGCAGGGAAGAAAAGCGAACAGGUUCGCCUGGACGGUACCUGACUAAGAAGCCCCGGCUAACUACGUGCCAGCAGCCGCGGUAAUACGUAGGGGGCAAGCGUUAUCCGGAUUUACUGGGUGUAAAGGGGGCGCAGACGGCGAUGCAAGCCAGGAGUGAAAGCCCGGGGCCCAACCCCCGGACUGCUUUGGAAACUGUAUAGCUGGAGUGCAGGAGAGGUAAGUGGAAUUCCUAGUGUAGCGGUGAAAUGCGUAGAUAUUAGGAGGAACACCAGUGGCGAAGGCGGCUUACUGGACUGUAACUGACGUUGAGGCUCGAAAGCGUGGGGAGCAAACAGGAUUAGAUACCCCAGUA